rnacentral:rRNA from 16 species
UUUGACCUCAAAUCAGGUAGGAUUACCCGCUGAACUUAAGCAUAUCAAUAA